rnacentral:rRNA from 1 species
GACGAACGCUGGCGGCGUGCCUAAUACAUGCAAGUAGAACGCUGAAGGAGGAGCUUGCUUCUCUGGAUGAGUUGCGAACGGGUGAGUAACGCGUAGGUAACCUGCCUGGUAGCGGGGGAUAACUAUUGGAAACGAUAGCUAAUACCGCAUAAGAGUAGAUGUUGCAUGACAUUUGCUUAAAAGGUGCAAUUGCAUCACUACCAGAUGGACCUGCGUUGUAUUAGCUAGUUGGUGGGGUAACGGCUCACCAAGGCGACGAUACAUAGCCGACCUGAGAGGGUGAUCGGCCACACUGGGACUGAGACACGGCCCAGACUCCUACGGGAGGCAGCAGUAGGGAAUCUUCGGCAAUGGACGGAAGUCUGACCGAGCAACGCCGCGUGAGUGAAGAAGGUUUUCGGAUCGUAAAGCUCUGUUGUAAGAGAAGAACGAGUGUGAGAGUGGAAAGUUCACACUGUGACGGUUUCUUACCAGAAAGGGACGGCUAACUACGUGCCAGCAGCCGCGGUAUUACGUAGGUCCCGAGCGUUGUCCGGAUUUAUUGGGCGUAAACCGAGCGCAGGCGGUUAGAUAAGUCUUAAGGUUAAAGGGCUGUGGCU